UAAAAUGAUUUAAAUUUGGAUAAAUUAUUGUAAAAGUAAGUUGAAGAUAAAGUGAUUUAAAUUUGAAUAAAUUAUUGUAAAAGUGAGUUAAAUGAUAAACUUGAUUGUAAAAAUCAUGUUUAACCUUUAAAGUUAUAAAUCAUACCUUCAAAUAAAAUCAAUUCUAUUCGAGAGUAAUCAUACAUGUCAAGAUCAAUUUUAGAUAUCUAAAAGCUAGCAUUUGUCGUUAGUAAAAGGCACUCAG
rnacentral:lncRNA from 1 species